rnacentral:lncRNA from 1 species
CUUGGAGUCUGUGCAGAGACAACUUGCUGCUGCUCUGUCCUGGGAACCUGAGAGUCUUCUGAGGGAUCUGAUAUACUGUACUAGAGGCUGAACUAAGCCGCCUAUCUCCUGGAGCUCUUCGGAAGUGGCUGCUGUGGAUGGCCCAGAUGUAGCCCUGUGGCUGGAGCCCGGUCUUGGCACAAUUUCCUGGACCACAAAUGGCUUUCCUGAGAGCAAGUUCUUCAGCUUGCACUCAGGGAUGAGUAGCUGGAGACAUUUCCCCCCUGAUCAUAAGGUUCCUGAAUGGUAUUUAUACUUUAUACCACAAAAUUUUGUUAAGGGAUAGCCUGUUUUGAGUUUUACUAUGCAGAAAACAAUCUCAAGUACUGAUUACACUGUUUAUCCUACUUUGUAGGCCCAGUUGAAGUGAUAUCUGUUAUAUAUAGGCCUACUUAAGUCUCUACCCCCGCCCCAGGCUCUAUUACAUUUCAUUUCACACCAAAUUAUCAAUAUUUGUUAGUGUAUCUAUCCCUUUGGGUAAAUCUGGAG